CAGUUCAGGUGGCGGUGGAGUUGCAAAGGUCGAAGGUGGUGGCAUUGGACUGAUUGGUGGAUUAAAACAGUAAGGCAGGUUGGUCUCCGGCGAUGAAGAUGGUCCCAUCACUUCGUCAUAUGGUGGCAAUGAAUCUGAAACAAUUGAAAUUAGUUCAAUAGAAGAUUGAAAGUUAAACAAACAGGAAGAAGAAGAACAACAACAAUAGUGAACAAUGUGUUCAUGCACUUUACCAGAAUGACAGAGAAUGGACAAGGAAAUCAGCAGGUAAAUCAGUCUCAAACUCUGUUUCUUGAGCUCCUCCAUUUUCAGGGAAGAAGCAUUUGUUGAGUCUUGUGAUGCUCUUGAUCCUUAUAAGCCAACUCCAUAUUAGAAAUAAUUAGAAUUAAAGCAGGUGCAUCAUCAAGCUUUUACUGAUUCCUCCUUCCUUUUUAAUUCCAUACAUAUCAAUAAA